rnacentral:misc_RNA from 1 species
GUUUGUAAACCUAAGUGGGGUUGUGCUUGAAGGCCACGUAGGUGUGCAUGGGUUGUGUUGGCGUUCCCAGAACUCCUCUCCAUUGUGAACUAAAGGAACUCAGUGACCACCCCCUGCAUAUAUAUGCAGUACUUAAAGGCUUUGAGUAGUGGAGUUUCUUCCCUGCCUUAAGUUCUACCUGAAGUCCACAGCGUGGAUGUGGUGAUCCUUAUGUUCCUGCUGGUGCUAAACUCCUCCCCAGUCUCCAGAGUAAUAUGUUCCAGAGCUAUACACACUGUCUUCCUUGGUCUGGUGACCGCACCCAUAGAUUCUCUUACCUCACCAUGGCCAAGUCAUCUGGAGCAGUUGUGCAUCUGGGGCCAUGCCACCGUGGUCUGGCGCUACGGACAGCCUCCACGCCGGCCGAGCGACUCACGCUUUCUCCGGCCGUCUUCACGCGAGCACCAAAGUCUUGAACCAAGACCUCCCGCUUCCUGUUGCCCACGUCGCCGGUCAGCCUGCUCGGCCACUCAUCCAGCAGAGCUGGAAGGCAUCUUCAUUUUCUCCCAUUCGCUUCAAGCCAUGGCCUUUAACUACUACCGAAGCACUUGGUGUGGGUCUGCUGCAGCUAAUAAGAACAAUGAAGAAAUUGAAGCAUGUGCUGUUUUGGUUGCAACAUUGAGGAAGAAGCGGCGUUGGGGAGGGUCUGUUGUUGGCCAUAAGAUGAAAAAUCGCGACCGUAUUGGUGGCGACAUUCAACUGAAUAAUGACUACUUUAUUGAGAGGUCGUUGUUCAACCCUGAGCAAUUCCGCAGAAGGUUCCGUAUGCAACAAUCCCUUUUCUUGGAGAUUGAAGAUAAAUUGGCAGCUGCAAAUAAGUUCUUUAGACAAAAAAGAAAUGCAGCUGGUGUGUUGGGAUUCUCCAGUAGACAAAAGUGUACUAUGGCUUUGCGGAUGUUGGCUUAUGGAGGUCCAGCAAAUUUUCUAGAUGAAGGUCUGCGUAUGGGAGAAAGCACAGUCCUUCAAACUAUCAAGGAGUUUGCUAAAACAGUCCUUCAAACAUUUUUCUGCUUAGCUUGUUUCUUCCCUCCUCUGGAUGGCAGUAGUGAUUCCUCAGACGUCAAAUGAAAUUGGGAAGACCUAGCUGAUGUAUCCCCUUCAUCCAUGUUGUACUGCACACACACAACAGCAGUAGUAAUUUGUAACAUAUGCAACAUCAGGGUAGCAAGGUUAAUUUGCUAAUAUUCUUCCAAUCCUACCUCAACAGCAGUAGCAUUAUCUAUAUCUUCAAUUGAAACGGCAUAGCAGGAGGUCCC